UACGUAGGGGGCUAGCGUUGUCCGGAAUCAUUGGGCGUAAAGCGCGCGUAGGCGGCCCGGUAAGUCCGCUGUGAAAGUCCAGGGCUCAACCCCUGGAAAGCCGGUGGAUACUGCCGGGCUAGAGUCCGGAAGAGGCGAGUGGAAUUCCUGGUGUAGCGGUGGAAUGCGUAGAUAUCUGGAGGAACACCGGUGGCGAAGGCGGCAUCCUGGACCGGCAGUUGACGCUGAGGCGCGAAAGCUGAGGGGAGCAAACGGGG
rnacentral:rRNA from 1 species